GCUAAUGAAAUAGUUUAAUUUAAAUUUGGACAGUGAAAGGUGUUGUUUCAUCACCAGCUUGCUGCCACUGGAAGUGGACGGCCUCGCUUCCCCUCCUGUUUUGUUCCUACUGCUUCCCUUGGGCUGGUCCCGAUGUUCACGUGGCCUUGUGCCAAGCUGAUGUAACUCACUAAAAUGGUAUGAGAUGGGCCAAAAUGGAGAUGGGCCAGACCAAAGUAGGGCGUUUUGCCAAGCCAGUGUACUGAAUCUGUGUUCCUGGAGCAGAGACACGCGGGCCUGUGCAGGGCAGGCGGAGGGGUUGCUGGAGGUGAUGGUGGUGCCGCCUUUGGAAAGGUGUAGGCAUUGGAGAUAGGGCAGCACAGCACUGGGGUUCACCCACACUCACAAGUGGUGCUGCACUGUGGGUGUGGAAAAGGUCAGCAAGCUGAAACUCUGAGCUAACAGGCAGUGCCACUUUAAAAUUUUUUGUUCUGCUGUGGAGAUUAUUGGCACAGCCUCCUUCAGUAAAUGCAAGGUUGUUGCCAUGGAGGACAGGAAAUCCCUCGUCUGCACGGAGAAGGAAAACAUUGGAAACUGUCCUACUGUAAAGCACAGCUGCCUCUGUGCUGGGAGAGGGGUGCUUGCUUGUGCGGGGUGUUUUCCAAAGGUCUUCUUUUUGUCUGCAAAUCUUUACGCCUUUGCUCUGUUUCUUAGCGUGCUUAUUGUGUGUUUGAAGAGGCAAUGGACAAAGGAAGUGGGAGCAGUUGGCUGGGACUAGCUUUAAGUGCCCUGAUUAUCGUGAGAAGCAGAAGGGAUUUUUGCUUGGGAGUAAGAUACUUAACACAUUUACAGUAUCUGCUUCAUCCUUUAAAUCCAUGGCUCCUCUUUUUCCUUUUUCUUCUACUGUUUGCAGAGGAAGGUCUCUGCCUUUGCUUCCAUUGGACCUCUGAAAGCAGGAGGCCUUUCUGCUAUGUGAUAGGUGAGGGUUCUCCACCUGGCAAUCUGAUAGGUGUCCUGACUGCUGUUGGUGGAGGCAAGAACAGCCGUCUGGGCCGAAUAUGCAGCUCUAGCAACUGGCUAGUUCUUGCAAAUGCCUACAUGGGUAGAGAUGCCCUAUCCCUGUGGAAUGGGGAAGAAGUGAGAUCCAGGGAUGAUCCUUCAGGACACGCUGACCCCACUCAUCCAUUGCAGGCUCUGAAAGAGAACUCAGUUCCUAUAGGAGCUGAAACCAGAUAAGCAUGUGGGGAGUCUAAUUAGUUCUGUCAAGCUUUUUAAUGCCAUCAAGUUGCAUAAAGGCUGGGGUGCUUGGCUGCUGCUGGGCAAUACUUGUCUGCAUUCUUCAUGGUCUGUUUCAGAGGCCAGAAAAGCAGGUUAUCAUUGAUGUGCAUCGGUGAUCCGUAGAUGGAUGUCUGGAUUAGGACUUUCCCUGCCUUCAGAAAGAGGUUUGUCAGUUAUCUAGUUCAGGUCUGGCUCUGUCCCGUUGCUGACCUGUCUGCCCACACUGGUGCAGUCCUGAGCUGUGCUAGGUGCUGUACAGAAGCAGGUAGAGAAAGUCCUGUCUGAGUCAUUGAGCUUUAACCUCUGCUUGGUAAUGUUUUCUGGGCCAAGUUCUUGUGCUAGCACUUACGAAGCUGAACUUACUGUUGCAAGGCUCCAGAGGAUGCUCCUGCAUUGUAGACCGUGGUGUUACAGGAGGUGUCUUGGCUGUAGAGGAAAGGGAGCUUGUGCUUUUCAGCUUCAAAGUAUGUACCGGGGGGUGCUGCUUUUAACUUGCUGUGUUUAAAUGAGCUGUGUGGUUCCUGAUCCUGUAUGCUGGUGAAGCGGCAGCAAGGCCUAUGGGAUAUCUCUUGCGAGUUGCUGACAGGGGUGGUGUGGGUGAGGCUGCGGCACCUUUGACAAGCAGUGCGGUGGGAGCAGCAUCAGAGCUCAGGGCUCUGGUUGAGGGGUGAAACUCCCGGAUCUUCCUUAAAGGGACUCCAGGAUUUCCCUGGCAGCUGUUCCUGGACUUGCCACAGGUUUUUUUUGUUUUUUUUUUGCACUUCAGGAUGAUGUAAUCCUAGUACAAGCAGCCCUCUCACAUGGUUUCUUGUCGUACUGGGAGAGGAGGCUGGAGUGUCUUCUGAUGUAAGCUGGCAUCGUUAUAUUGACUUUCCUGAGUACAAGGCUGAUUUAUGCCACGAGGGUUGCAUGGCCGUGUUUGCCUAGCUCUGAGCGCGGUUGGUUUUGACGUCUGUCUGGAGUCAAUAUGCAGUGACGUGAUUCACGUCUUCCUUUAUGACUGACUGCAAAGCACCACCUUCUCCUUCCUAUAACAGCCCUUCCUAGGUAUAUUUGCACAAGUCAACCCCUACUCUCUAUGUUGCCUUAUUUUUCCAUUGAUAGCUGACAGAGCGUGGUUCAGAUGUCUGCACCUUGGCGCGGUUCCUCUGCUCUGAUGGGAAUUUCAGUGUUUUAGGCUUAGCUGAAUAGCUCUGUCUAUUGCAGAGAUUCUCUUUCAAUCCUGGCAUGGCCUUCUAGGUCAGGGAUGGCACCAUUUGGUGCAGGGCCUGGCUCGUUUUCUUUAAGAUUGUCUGAUCCUUGUGGAGUUUCAGCCCUACACCCUGUAAAACAUUCCAGGGGGUGGAUAAGAUGGUCACAGGACAUGAGGCAACAGGGAAAAGCCCAUCCUCUCCCUCAUAUGUGUGCAGAGAAACAAAAGAGGCACCAGGCUAUCCCUUGAUUAGAAGGAAAGUUGAAGAAGCAUGGCUCUACGGAGAGUGAAGGAGUUGUAUCUCUCUCACAUCAGACUCCAGGACAGUGUCUUCGUGUUCUGUGGCAAGGACUGCAGAGCUAAAAAAAGGAGCAAGGACACCGAGUGGAGUGGCUCCCUGACUGGUGACUGAUAGGAUGGAUCACUUUGGUGAGAGAUGGAGGUGGAGACAGCUUCUUCCUUGAUCUUUACCCAUGGCAGGAAGGAUGUAGAAAUCUCAUUGUCACUGAAUGCAGAAGCUGCAGAGUGCACCACAACAGAGCCAGAGUGGAGCAAGAAAGGGAGAGAGGCGGCUUUGGGCCUGGCUGAAGCACUCGGCCAAAGGUCUGCGCAGCUGCACACCACGGGCCGACCUGCUCAGGACCGGCUCGCAAGCCUUUACUUCUGACUCGGAAGCAGCCUCCUGGAAGCCCCUUUCCGCCGUACUAACGCCGCCAGCUCCGAGCUCGCUUUUCCCCGGGCCGGGGCCUACAGCCCCCAGGAGGCGGCGCG